UACGUAGGGGGCGAGCGUCGUCCGGAUUUAUUGGGCGUAAAGAGCGUGUAGGCGGCCAGGUAGGUCAGCUGUGAAAACUCGAGGCUCAACCUCGAGAUGUCGGCUGAAACCAUCUGGCUAGAGUCCGGAAGAGGAGAAUGGAAUUCCCGGUGUGAGCGGUGAAAUGCGCAGAUAUCGGGAAGAACACCCGUGGCGAAGGCGGUUCUCUGGGACGGUACUGACGCUGAGACGCGAAAGCGUGGGGAGCGAACAGG
rnacentral:rRNA from 1 species